rnacentral:rRNA from 1 species
CGAACGCUGGCGGCGUGCUUAACACAUGCAAGUCGAACGCGAAAGGGACUUCGGUCCUGAGUAAAGUGGCGCACGGGUGAGUAACGCGUAGAUAACCUGUCUUCAUGUCUGGAAUAAUACGCCGAAAGGGGUACUAAUACCGGAUAUUCUUGCUUUUCAUAAGUUAUGCAAGCAAAGGUGGCCUCUGCAUAUGCUACUGCAUGAAGAGGGGUCUGCGUACCAUUAGCUAGUAGGUGGGGUAAUGGCCUACCUAGGCGACGAUGGUUAGCGGGUCUGAGAGGAUGAUCCGCCACACUGGCACUGGAACACGGGCCAGACUCCUACGGGAGGCAGCAGUGAGGAAUAUUGCGCAAUGGGGGAAACCCUGACGCAGCGACGCCGCGUGAGUGAGGAAGGCCUUCGGGUCGUAAAGCUCUGUCAAGAGGAAAGAAGUGUACAAUGGCUAAUACCUGUUGUAUUUGACGGUACCUCUAAAGGAAGCACCGGCUAACUCCGUGCCAGCCGCGGC